CCCCAGAUAGCUCAGUUGGUAGAGCAUGAGACUCUUAAUCUCAAGGUCAUGGGUUCGAGCCCCAUGUUGGGUGA